rnacentral:lncRNA from 1 species
GAGCGAGCCGAGCGGGCGGUGCUCCCCGCCGCCGGCCGCCCCUGCUCUCGGCGCCCCGCUAUCCAUGGCUGGCUGGCUGUACUCCUCCCGGUGCGUCCUCCUCCCGCAUCUCGCCAGCCUCGGCAACUUCCCCUCAGCCAGCCUCUGCCCCCAGGCCGCCACGGCAUGGGCUAGACCCCGAGCCGCUUCUUGCCGUCUCCCGUCCAGUCCGCGCGCGGUCUCGCCCCUCUAGCCCGUCUCGCCCGUCCCCGCCGUUUCCCCGACAGUCAGCCCCAUCACUCGGUCGGCUUUCCUCCGCGGGGCAGCGGUGGAGGACCAGCGGGCUCCGCAGGAGCGGGCGCCCCCACCCCGCUCCUCCUCCCGCUCCUCCGCGCUCCCACUCGUCGGGAUCCCGGUCCCGCACCGAGGGACGCGCCGACCGACGUCCUCUCCCCGCGGCCGUACGACCCGCCCGGGGGCUGGACCAGGCGCCC